rnacentral:rRNA from 1 species
UACGAGGGGGGCGAGCGUUGUUCGGAAUUAUUGGGCGUAAAGGGUGCGUAGGCGGUUUGGUAAGUCUGAUGUGAAAUCUAUGGGCUCAACUCAUAGUCUGCAUCGGAAACUGCCGGGCUUGAGUAUGGGAGAGGUGAGUGGAAUUCCCAGUGUAGAGGUGAAAUUCGUAGAUAGUUGGGAAGAACACCGGUGGCGAAGGCGGCUCACUGGCUCAUUACUGACGCUCAGGCGCGACAGGCGUGGG